UACGAAGGGGGCUAGCGUUGCUCGGAAUCACUGGGCGUAAAGGGUGCGUAGGCGGUUCUUUAAGUCAGGGGUGAAAUCCUGGAGCUCAACUCCAGAACUGCCUUUGAUACUGAGGAUCUUGAGUUCGGGAGAGGUGAGUGGAACUGCGAGUGUAGAGGUGAAAUUCGUAGAUAUUCGCAAGAACACCAGUGGCGAAGGCGGCUCACUGGCCCGAUACUGACGCUGAGGCACGAAAGCGUGGGGAGCAAACAGG
rnacentral:rRNA from 1 species